rnacentral:lncRNA from 1 species
UCACAUACAUUCACCGAGGCUACUCUGCAGCUAGAUUUCAGUCCCCCUUCAAGUCACAAGCUAGUCAUAACAAAUGCAAAAUUCAAACAUCACUGAUAUGGUAUGAAUUGCAUUUGUACAUUUUCAUCUCAAAGGACAUGAUACAGAUAACCACAAAAAAAUGAAAGUCAGUAGCAUGUGCAAACACCCCUAAUCCCGGAAUGCACAGAGCACUUCAUUAACACAGUUUCGUCACUAACCAACUCUGCCUCAAUCCCCAUCAAUUCAUUGCAUGUCUGUCACACUAAAAGCACUGUGGCUAAACAGUCUUCAGAAAUGCACCUAGACUAAAGAAAUAAAAGCUAUGUGUUGAGCACAGAGAAUAAUUAGAGACAGUAUGCUCUAAUUCUCCAUUAAUUUAGCUCCCAUAUCUUUCAAUGACCUAAUAUUCUGCAAACAGUAGUGAGGAAAGAGCGAAGACAUACUACUGGUUAGCUCUGAAUCAUCAAAAAAAAAAAAAAAAAGCCAUUUGGCCAUGCUGUAAUGGAAAGAGGCAUGUAUCAUCUUCAAUGCAUAUUUCAGGCUCAUGAUAUAUUAAUUCCCUGGCAGUUCAAGGAAACAUGAGAUUGCAUUAGGUACAACUGUAGUACAUUGAAAUAUUUUUCUACUUCCUCUCUUAAAAGCUUGUAUUGCUAAGUCUAGUUCACUAAAGCGGAGGUACAGAGAUGAGUAAGGAGGAUAUUGCAACUGCUAAAAUUGUCUGUACAAGCAGUAGCUAUGAAAAAAGCUACUGAUGAAAGCCCAUCCUCUUAACACUUACACAGAGAAGUCAGAGCCACUGUAAAAUCAGACCAACACAAAACUAUAAGGCUUUACAUCCAAAUUAUGACUCCUGAAGACUCUUAUGCUCAUCUGAUCUCACAGCUAUUAGCGCAUAUACACAGAUCAAAAUCUUAACUUCCUGCGCUCUAAGAGUAACUUCGGUAUAUGAAAAAACUUUAAGGGACAUAGUAUUAUUUAGAGAAAUAAGACUGCAGUUUCUAGAACUUUUCUCCUUCAAAAUAUUAAGUGUAGCAUAACCCACUGCAACAAGUGGGUUAAGUGGGUAUGCAACACUGGAAACAUUCAUUCUUUAAUUUCUGAAAUAGCUUCACAGGAGUUACCCUAAUUGAAAAAUACAUUUGAAUACAUGGCUAUUAGGUAUGUAAUGUUCUUACUACCUUGUUCAGAUUUAAGACUAAGAGAUAUUUUAAUUACAACUGUAUUAGGAAAGUAACCCCACUCCUUAUAUAUAAGAAAAAUAAAUAUAUCUAGUAAUGAGAGGAUGUACGUGCA